GCGCGUGUAACUCAGUUGGUAGAGUGUCACCUUGCCAUGGUGGAUGUCGCAAGUUCGAAUCUUGUCACGCGCUCCA
rnacentral:tRNA from 5 species